AGGACGAACGCUGGCGGCGUGCUUAACACAUGCAAGUCGAGCGGUAAGGCUCCUUCGGGAGUACACGAGCGGCGAACGGGUGAGUAACACGUGAGCAAUCUGCCCUUCACACGGGAAUAACCCUCGGAAACGAGAGCUAAUGCCCGAUACGACCACCGAAGACAUCUUCUGGUGGUGGAAAGUUCCGGCGGUCAAGGAUGGGCUCGCGGCCUAUCAGCUUGUUGGUGAGGUAACGGCUCACCAAGGCUUCGACGGGUA
rnacentral:rRNA from 1 species